rnacentral:tRNA from 1 species
UUAAUAUCGACUUAGAAUGGGAGAAUUACUGAAAGUAGUUACAGGCCCUACUUAUCACCCCUUCAGUUCGUUAA